GACGAACGCUGGCGGCGUGCUUAACACAUGCAAGUCGAACGGAAAGGCCCUGCUUUUGUUGGGUGCUCGAGUGGCGAACGGGUGAGUAACACGUGAGUAACCUGCCCUUGACUUUGGGAUAACUUCAGGAAACUGGGGCUAAUACCGGAUAGGAGCUCCUGCUGCAUGGUGGGGGUUGGAAAGUUUCGGCGGUUGGGGAUGGACUCGCGGCUUAUCAGCUUGUUGGGGGGGUAGUGGCUUACCAAGGCUUUGACGGGUAGCCGGCCUGAGAGGGUGACCGGCCACAUUGGGACUGAGAUACGGCCCAGACUCCUACGGGAGGCAGCAGUGGGGAAUAUUGCACAAUGGGCGGAAGCCUGAUGCAGCAACGCCGCGUGCGGGAUGACGGCCUUCGGGUUGUAAACCGCUUUCGCCUGUGACGAAGCGUGAGUGACGGUAAUGGGUAAAGAAGCACCGGCUAACUACGUG
rnacentral:rRNA from 1 species